AAACAUUUUUCAACUUGAAAAAUAAUUUUCAUUGUACUUUUACAGCAAACCAAACACCCCCUUAGUGUUUCAAAAUGAGUUUCCGGAUAGGAAACAUUUUAAACUGAUAGAUGUGGAUUUAUGAAUAUCUGUGAUGAAAUGAAUGUGAAUGUGAAUGGUGAAUGCAUGUAGAUGUUUAUAUGUAUGUGGUUGUAUCUUGUACUCGUGCGACACCAUGCAAAUAUAGGGAAGACUCUGUCCAUGUAAACAGUGAAUUCUCUGUAUUUGUGGUGGAUCUGACAUCCUCUGGGGUCAAGAUUUUCAAAAAAAAAAAAUAAUUGGGUACUUCCAUACUGGCUUUAAAUCCAAAAAGGGACCCCGGGGCAUGACAUCCUCAC
rnacentral:lncRNA from 1 species